rnacentral:rRNA from 1 species
GGGCCCGCACAAGCGGUGGAGCAUGUGGUUUAAUUCGAUGAUACGCGAGGAACCUUACCAGGGCUUAAAUGUAAGUUGCAUGAAUCAGAGAUGAUUCUUUCUUCGGACUACUUACAAGGUGCUGCAUGGUUGUCGUCAGCUCGUGCCGUGAGGUGUCAGGUUAAGUCCUAUAACGAGCGCAACCCCUGUCGUUAGUUGCCAGCAAUUUUAGUUGGGUACUCUAGCGAGACUGCCGGUGCAAACCGAGAGGAAGUUGGGGAUGACGUCAAAUCAUCACGGCCCUUACGUCCUGGGCUACACACGUGCUACAAUGGCCGGUACAGAGAGCAGCCACUACGCGAGUAGGAGCGAAUCUUCAAAACCGGUCUCAGUUCGGAUCGCAGUCUGCAACUCGACUGCGUGAAGCUGGAAUCGCUAGUAAUCG